rnacentral:lncRNA from 1 species
AAAGGUUUAGGAUUGAUGGGUGGUGUGGCUAGGGGUGGUUUUUGGCUAAAUUUGGAGAGAAAAUCUGUUCUCCUUUUGAUGAAUAUGGAAGGUGGUAUUUAUAGGCUUGAGAUAGGACCACUCCAUUUCCUUUGCAUGUGAGCUUGUGUGGGUGUGUGUUGGCAUGUUUCCUCUUUACAUUUACACACACAUGAUUCAUCAUUUCAACCACAACACACACACAUUUUCUGCCCUAUUUUCCUUUACAUUUA